CUUGUUGAAUCUGUUGUGUCAAGCUGUCAAGUCUUUUGUCAGAUGUCCAUUGUUACCAGUUGCUACCAGUUUUGAGCCUCAGUCUUCUGCUCAUCUGUGCUGCCUGGAUUUUGGACUUCGUUACCACUAAAAUCAUCAUUUCUUCAUUCCAACCUGGGUCCGCUGCAUUUUGCCUCACCACCUUCACUGGGUUUCAUGACAAGCUGCAGCACCGCCGUCCGGAAGAUCCUCUUGAUCUCCUCUGACACAUUCCUCCAGGCCUUGUCAUUCUUGGUCUUUGCUGCGCUGCUCGACUCCAUCUAAAAGGGGAUGAGGAGCAGAGAGAGGAAAGGCUGACUGUAAUGCUCGUCAUGUACUGAAGGAAAGCUGCCAUUCUUGUCUGAGCCACUCCUUUGGGAGGAGGCAAAGCCCGAGCGGGAGACGAGCCAAAUGACUGUGAGGUCCAAUGAGCAGGAAAACGACGGCUUGCCCCCCGGCAAUGAUGCUUCAAAGCCACUCCACGCUGGAGUCCUCAUUCCCUUGGCAUUCUCAGUGGGAACAGAUGCAGAGUAGAAGAAGAAAUCUAAUGAUGGCAUGCCGCGUCGUCUGCCGGAUGGCCUACUCUUAAAGCCCACAAAAUGUCCGCUGGAGAUUCAUUAGCAUUUGGGCACUUUUCUGUCCAACAAGCACAAAGUGGCAAAGGUUGAUCUGGGCGGCGAAGAUAGUUUUCCAUUAAGGGAAUCAGUGACACCCCCUUUUUUUGAAGGGACGCCUCCAGGAAUUAAUAGUGUACUUUUGAUACAAUAAACAUUUUUGUAUUAGAUAACAUUAAACUGAAAGAUGCUGAGAAAAAAAACAAUGAGAUGAAGUCUGAAUUAAAUGGAAAGGUUCAUCUAGAUGUCAAAAAACCGAUUUGGUGUAGCAACUUUAUAGCAAAGGAAGACUGUUAUUCUUUAAAAAGAAACAUAAGAUAAAAUAAAGAGAAAAAGUUAAGAUGCUCCUCAUGUAUCAACAGAGGCUGAAAGGCCAAUCGGCGAGGAGGAAGCCACUACACCAAAUGAAACACAGAAAGCUAGAUUGUAAAUGCACUCAUGGACAAAGACGAUAAUUUUUGCUUGCUUGCAUUUUUGCUUGUAAACAGGGUAUCUGCAAGCCUCAGCAAAUCAAAUUUAAGACUUUUAAAGAGUUUUAGUGCCACCUUGAAUGGAAUUAAAGACCAAAGAAACAAUAAAUAUGGACGAUGAUUAGUGAAUCCUGCUGCCUUACAGUCAAUCAUAGCAAAGACGGUGAAAUUCCUGGGGUCUGUUUGCUACUCUUUGUGCCACAUGUAAAAGUUAUUUUGUGCCUAGCCUCAGAGGGAAUGUCAACCGAUAUGAGUCAGAGGUGAAAACAAACGUCUUUCAGUUACUUGUCGAUAAAUUUACGCUUAGCUACUCCUGUUACAUGAAAAAAGCUGUCAGUAGCUUCAACUGCCUAAAAUCACAGAAGAUUUUUGCGUGAGAUUCAAACUUUUACCUUUACGGAAAAGUCCAGUGAGGAGAAAAAGCCCUGAAUAUAUGAGAAUGUAAAAGAUUAAGUUGUCCUUCUAUGACAAUUAAUACCUUUAAAUAACAUAUAUAUAGCUUAGAUUUUUAAAAAUGAAUUUAAGACUUGUUAUGGAUGCUUGGACAGACGACUGAAGCAGGACUAAAACUUUUCACAGCACUGCACCGUAUCAGUGGUACUUUCAGGCCACUGAAGGCCUUCUGUAGCACUGUGCUGCCCUGCAGGUCACCUCAUGCUUCUGACUCACGGCUCUGCAGCGAUGUGUCAGUAAAUGAUGGAGGCACUGGGCUAAACGACUGCGAUACUGGGACAGAAAUGUAGCAGAGAGAACAGAGGGAACAGUCACUCUCCAUGCUGCUGACAAGGUUUCUGUCAGUUCGUCUUGUAGUGCUACAGCAGGACGAAUGGAGUGGGUGAUAGCUGUGUAAGAUGGGGGGGAGGUGGAAACUAAAGUUUUCUUUUCAAAUCACCACACAGGUUUAAAAAUGCUAACAUAAGUGAGUGUGUUCACACCUGUCAACCCAGCUCUCCAGCAUAAAAGUUUGCCAAUCAUCCUGAUGACUUUCAAAAAGGGUAGAGAUGUAAAAAGAAAAUGCCCCAACGUCCUGAUUUUUAGGAGCUUUAACACAUCUGUCUUAGCUGGAGAGCUAAAACCAUCUUAAACGGAUUAACUCAUGCUGCAGCUUCACUCUUUUAUGUUUCAGUCCAUGUACAGUACGUGCGUGUCUGACGUUUAAGAGGGAUUUGUGGAGCUCUUAUUCCUCCUCAGAGGAGAGGAAGGUGUGAGAAACACAAGAGGGUAAAGGGAAGAUAACAGAGGGGACAAAUGCAAUUUCAGCGUUCAUUGCGCUCCUCUUCCUCCCUUCUUCUUUCCUCAGUCCCCCCCCAUCCUUGGACCGGGUUUUAUACUCCGGCUAAGUGCACUUUAUCUGAUGAACCAGCAGGGAGAGGCAGCUAAGAUUGCGCACAGCCACAGUAUGAAUUAACAAAUCAAUCAGUCAUGCAGUCAAUUAAUCCACAAUGCCCACAGUCAGCUGGGUAGAUGUCUGCAGCAGAGGAGAGGCAAACAUGAUGUUUCCAAAAGAACAGGAGGAUCCGAUUUUUAAAAAAAUGCACUGUAUUUAAUUAAUGAAACGUCUAAAUUUAUUGAACUGUAAAACGGAUUCACUUCUUACAGUUGAUUGUUUCUGUCCCGCAGGCUAAUGUUUAGAUAGCAUAACUGCUUUGAAAAAUAGGAUAUGACCACAAAACAUGGUGUUUAGCAGCAACAUGCUUGACAACUGCUCAGGCACUUUUUCUUAAAAAUGGGUUGUUGGCUCUUAAAAACAUUUUCAAAACUGACCCAUUUCAGGAAAAAAGAAACAUUCCCGUGUACACAAAAUUAUGCUUGAAAGAAACGGUGUCUUACAAUAUUUGACAUGACAAGUAAUAUUUUUUAUUUCCACAUCUGCGUGGAAAGCACAAAACAUUUACAGCUUGGUUAUAUUUGUCACUUUAGUCCUUAUAUGAAGCUCAGAUGAAGACAUCGGCAACAUGCAAACAAAUCUAAUCUAUGAGUAGUUUAUACAUAUAUAUAUAUAUAUUUUAUAUAAUGAGGUGCAUUAAUGUGACUGGAGGUAAUAAGGAGGUAAAAGACGGGCAGCAGAAUCUUUUACUAUCCCCUUUAAUGCAGCAGACAUCUGGAAGCUUGAAAUGUUCUGCUGAAAUGAAUCCUUCAGGCAUUUAUUGGAUUUUUCGGGUUCUUUUUUUUUUUUCCCCCACGUGGGAAUUUGAAACUGUUGGAGAAAGAAAGAGAGAAAAGAAGUCAUGGCUCAUUGUCAUGCUUAAUCUUCGGGUCAAUGACACUAUCACCAUGCCAACCCUCUCUAUCGCCAUGGAAACCAGCUUUUCCGGAAUCAACGGUACGGAGAAAAGCCGCUCUCGCCAAGGUGUGGUUCGGUAUGUAUGUGAAUGACAUGCAACGAAUUUAGUCCUCAGACAUACGCAAAGAGGGGAUUAUCAUAUCAGGGUGUAAAGAAAACCUCCAAAAACUCACAAGCUAGAUUUUCCGAGGCGGCCAUUAUGAGGAGGAAAAUGAUAUUCUCGAACUCUGAGACAGAGACGUCCUGACAAAAGAGGUGUGAAAACAGAAAUAAAACUGCAUCGACGUCUUCCCCUGGAACGCUCUCAUUCUGGUCCUGCAGGACGGCUCUGCAGAGUCGAGAAUGAGGGGCAGUUUACGUGUGGCACGGAGAUUAAAGACGUUUCCAGUUGUUUCACACAUCUUCUGUGGCAGCAACAAAACAGCCCUGCAGCACAUGUCAGUCACCGUUCCCUGUGUUCUUUCUCUUUCUGCAGCGUGCUUACGCGGGGGGAAAUCGAUAGUAAUUUGGCUUUCCAAAGUGUGUCCUCACUUUAUCUUCUGUUCUUUUCAUCUGCUCAUUCCUAUUCCAUUGUCAGAUCCACGCUGUGUGGAAGUUGUCUGGAUCUUGGGUGUGCAGGGGUGUGUGCACGGAGGUGACACCUGAGUGGGUGAAGCGGACGGUAAUGAGAGGCUGCGAGUGUGUUUUCAUCAGAGGAAUUAGGAGAACACAUGCAAGUGCGAGGAUUCCCUGAAUUGUAGGCGACAGCCCAACGCACAGCCACUUACAGAGAAAAAAGAAAUUAUUCUGACAAUUUCUCUUGUACUUACAUGCAAAUCUAGAGCUACCACCCAGAAAAAAAAACAAAAAACAAACAUCCACUCUCCAGAGAUGCCUUAGACAACCUAGAACUGUCAGAAUCUGAUCAGAGAAACCACUACUGCCGUGGCUGCUGCCGGCUUUCAGCUUCCUGGUUCUGAAAACGGGGCCGGCUGGCUGACGGGGAGCCGCGCCGAGGGGCUCCGGGGACAACAGCAGCUGGCUUUGACAUGUCUGAAUGAGACUGCGCAGCUAUCAUGAGACCCUCAGCAUAAAGCCCCCCCCCCAUCCCCAUUCACUACUGAAGUAGGACCACUAGAAUAUGCUAUUAAACAUUAAACCGGCCAGAUGGGGAAGACAUGCACCAAGGAUCUGUGUGUGUAUCUUCUAACAGACUCUGAAUGUCACGACACAGAGGUUGUGUUUGAAGGCAUGAGAAAGAAAAAUGAACUGAACAAAAAACCCGAGAUAAUGUGUGCGUUUGACCCAUCAGUGUGAUGCAGCUGGGGGGUCAGUAGAGGUCGGGUUGGAGAAACUGCAGCAACACCAGAGCAAAGAGAGACUGUGGAGAAAGUAUGAAAACACUUCAGGUUUAGAAGAUGCCAGCAAAAGAAACGGAGCAGGUGUAUUUAUUUAAUUUCACAUUCAAUCGUUUCAGUUCACCUGCGUAACAUCACAAACAUUAUCUCUGCACAUUUGUACAAAAUGUAGUUGAAACUAAUUUAGGAUUUUUCCUGGCAGCUGCACAGAAAAAAGUCCUAAUUUUUUGUUAUCAGUUUAGGUUGUGCUAGAGGCCAGAUCACAACACGAUGCUGAGCAGUCUUUGUUUCCGACGGAGAUUCAGCUGCUUAUUAUGAGGCGUAAAUAAAUGACAGAAUCCUUGUCAUUUUUCCCCCGUGUAAUUAUUCGAGGCAACCUCUGACUGAAAGCAGCAUCUGGAAGUGGUGGAAGCAGGAAGACGAUGAGAUGCCAAACUCAUUCUGAGAAGAAGGGGUUAUGGCUUAGAAAUUGAGCUCCUUUUGUACCCAUAAUGCCUUACCUGUGAACUCUCACUUCUGUCUCAACCUUUACACUCAAUCUGUUCCAUCUGAAUAAUUCACAAUCACUUCCCCUCUCUUGUGAUCUUCCCCUGUAGACCCUCACUGACCCUGUUUUAUUACUUCUAGCAAAGCUAGAAACGAUCUCAGAGCCUGAAGUACAGAUUAAAUGCACCAUUAGGUUUUUUAUAAAUUAGAAUACUUUAGCAUUUUUCCUUUUUAGUAUAAGGGAUGUUCUGAAUGGUUUCGUGAACUUUUUUGUAUUCCAAAUGGAGAAAAUAAUCUGCAGCGGUAAUAACCUGCAUUUUGAAUUUUUCUUUUUAAACAUAAGUGGAACCAAAGCAAACUGAGACAAAAGACUUCCAAGCCACAUCGGACCAAAGUACAGAGAUAAAAAGCAAAAUGUAAGACUUUAGAGGCACCACUCAGCCCUUCAUGGUUUACUUCUAAAGAGACAAACUUUGGUGGACAUUUUUAAAGCUGGCAUAAAAAGUAUUUUUUUCAAAGUCUUUCUUUACUCCAGAUGCUGUUCAUCCUCUGAGAGUAGCUUUUGUAAGAGCUAGCUACAGCCCUUGUGAUAUCAAGCCAAGAAGUGUCAGAUAAAAAAAACAGCCAGAGAACCGUGGAGAAAGGCAACUUUAAAAAGGCUGAUUCAUACAACUUAUGAGAAUCAAUACAAACUGGCUGUCCUUGAAUGGCUGUCCAGAGGCGAGAAAUCAUGGAAAUGGAUUUUACAAAAUAAAAUUCCUUGAAAUUCUGCGCAACAUAAAGUGUUAAUAGAAAUAAAAGCUUCACUUAUGUUUUAUUUUAAAGGAAUAGCCAGAAAGUUUGGCAACACUGAUUUUGUAAAAACAACUUUUUUAUGUUGUUUCCCCCCUCCAUAAUUUUACAAUUUUGUCAAUGUGGAACUGCAAUAAAAGACUAAUAUGUUAAUGAGGUAAAACGGAACAAUCAGAAUCCUUUUCAGUUUGUCUAAUUGUACCUUGGAAGCUUGCAAU